UGCCAGCCAGUGCGGUUAGACAUAUAGGGCAAGUAAUACACGUUAACGGUAUAAAGGAUACGUAGUAUGGAUUUAAAAUUAAGAAAGAAUCUAGAAUAAUUAAAUAUAUUAUAACCACUAUAUGAUUAAUAGUUAAAUAUGAUAAGAUAUAUAGGAGUUUCAAUAGAUGAAGAUAUAUAAUAAAUUAAUUAUUGACAUUGAGGUAUGAAAGUAUAGGUAUCAAGUUGGACUCGUCAACCAAUUAGUCUAUACUGUAAACUAUGUACACUGAUAAUUCAAUAUAUAAUAUAUGAUUAUAUUAAUUAGUAAGUUAAUAUCAGAGUGUACCACCGGAGGAGUACUAUUUAAGGUAGAAACUCAAAACAAUAGACUGUGUGACCUACAACAGUGGAACUGUUUCGUUUAAU
rnacentral:rRNA from 1 species